GUGGGGAAUUUUGGACAAUGGGCGCAAGCCUGAUCCAGCAAUGCCGCGUGCAGGAAGAAGGCCUUCGGGUUGUAAACUGCUUUUGUACGGCACGAAACGGUCCUGGUUAAUACCUGGGGCUAAUGACGGUACCGUAAGAAUAAGCACCGGCUAACUACGUGCCAGCAGCCGCGGUAAUACGUAGGGUGCAAGCGUUAAUCGGAAUUACUGGGCGUAAAGCGUGCGCAGGCGGUUUUGUAAGACAGGCGUGAAAGCCCCGGGCUCAACCUGGGAAUUGCGCUUGUGACUGCAAGGCUGGAGUGCGGCAGAGGGGGAUGGAAUUCCGCGUGUAGCAGUGAAAUGCGUAGAUAUGCGGAGGAACACCGAUGGCGAAGGCAAUCCCCUGGGCCUGCACUGACGCUCAUGCACGAAAGCGUGGGGAGCAAACAGGAUUAGAAACCCGAGUAGUCC
rnacentral:rRNA from 1 species